CCUACGGGAGGCUGCAGUCGAGAAUCAUUCACAAUGGGGGAAACCCUGAUGGUGCGACGCCGUGUGGGGGAAUGAAGGUCUUCGGAUUGUAAACCCCUGUCAUGUGGGAGCAAAUUAAAAAGAUAGUACCACAAGAGGAAGAGACGGCUAACUCUGUGCCAGCAGCCGCGGUAAUACAGAGGUCUCAAGCGUUGUUCGGAAUCACGGGGCGUAAAGCGUGCGGGGGCUGUUUCGUAAGUCGCGUGGGAAAGGCGCGGGGUCAACCCGCGGACGGCACAUGAUACUGCGAGACUAGAGUGAUAGAGAGGGAACCGGAAUUCUCGGUGUAGCAGUGAAAUGCGUAGAUAUCGAGAGGAACACUCAUGGCGAAGGCGGGUUCCUGGACAUUAACUGACGCUGAGGCACGAAGGCCAGGGGAGCGAAAGGGAUUAGAUACCCGAGUAGUC
rnacentral:rRNA from 1 species